GACCACUCUGGUGGCCUAGUGGUUAGAGUAUCUGCCUCGGAUGCAGGAGGUUGUGGGUUCAAUCCCUGGCUGAGUCA